UUGUAUCAUUAAAAAUGAAGUUCUGGGGGGAUAUUUGGAAAACAAAAAGACAUGCAAACAAAUAACUUAUUCCUUUUUCCAUAUUUGUAUAGCCUUCUAGAAACAGAAAUACCAGUAGUUUAUCGCCUCAGGGAGGAUAACCAUCGCGAAUUUUUAGGCUUCCUAAUCUUAUGAAUGUUGUUUAUUUGUAACAAGUCAUUCUUUCUAGUUUUGCAGACUGGCAAACAGGUCUUUUACAUUCAGGAAUAUAUUUCUGUUAUCUUUUAAUCCCAUGCAAUGGGGCAAGGGGCAUGGGAAGUGAAAUAUAGGGAGAUUAGUAUUUCUGUACAAGUACUUUACAUUGAAAUAAGGUAUCAUUUAUUUUCCUGUUAAAGAAAUGAUAUGCUCAGAAUUGCAGGUAUACCUUGAAAAAAAUAAAAACUCGACUCUC
rnacentral:lncRNA from 1 species